CAGCAUGUGACAUUAUUGAAAUAUUUUUAACAAGUCACAUUCCCACGAAAUUUUAUUUCAUUACACACGAGACCCAUAAUUUGGUCUUGAUUCGUGACUAUAGUAUAAGUGCAUUUACAGAGUUCGUGCGCGACUUGAAUCACUUGUAAUGGCGCCGUGUGGUCAUUACAUGAACGUCGAACCCGUACAUUGAACUAUUCCCUCUAAAUUAACAAUCAACUACUAAGUUAUUUUUUCAUUUUAUCACUAAUUUGAGGAAUUUUUUCCAAACCUUUUAAGAUAUUUAUCUGCUCUAAGUCGUGUUUUACAGCCCUUUUAAGAUACCGAGGCAACAAUUUGUGUAGGUAUCGAAGCGAAGAAAAUAGUCAAACAUGAUGCUAAAGCGGCAACAAGUCCAAGUAAAGAAGAUUCUUGUGCUGCAGAAGCCAGAAGAGACUUUAUAGCGAUCAUAGUUAUAUAGUUCGUGCUAAGCUAGUCUUUCAACUCUCCAGGCAACAAAAUAUCAUUGAUGAAAUUAAGCUGAAUGCUCCAGUAGCUAAGGCUAUAGAUUGAUAAAAAUAAAUUGAAUAUUUUAAAUAGCUCUAAAAUGAGAUAUAAUAAGGUUAUCUUAUUAAUUUUCUCUGGAACAUAAAGUAUAAAAAAAUUGUAUUUGAGUUCAUGGCGCCGGUGAAUGGAGAAAAGGAUUAAUGUUAAUGUUGAAGAUGCACGAAUGCAGA